GGUAUGCAACAGGAAUCCAUGAAGCCUUUAGCUAUUUUUCUCUUUCAUCGAAGAUUGCCGCUUUUUAUCAAGUGGGUCGCUUGCUUGUUCAUCAUUCCAAUAUGCUUUCAAAAGAGGCUUCUAAAAAAACAUUUAUUUUUAGUGUGUAAUGUGUCUACAUUAUUAUAUAACGAUAGUAGUACAUAAUUUCAAUUGCACACCAACUCUAAUAAACAGAACAAUCCAAGUGAUAAAAGUUGGAAAAUUUUACAAAUUAGGUUCGGCACAUAUCAAAAUAAAAUAGUAAUUUUUUUUACUCUGCGAUGGUGAUUUAAUAGAUUUCCAAAGAAAAAAAUAUUUUUUUGUGCGGCGAAAGUAAUAAAAAGUAUUCAAUUGAUUGCGGUGCGGGACGAGGUCUGGACCGAUUCGUGGCCCACGUGCAAUACACAUGAAAAAUGGCCACUAAAUCACGGCUACGGAACCCUCGGCUAGCGAAGGCGAUUUCUUCUAACCAAACCCAUAUAAAUAUAAAGGUAGAACGUAACUAAGCAACUACAUUACAUGGCUAGUAUUUUUACGCUCGAUUGCUACGUUACUACUACUAUUCAUUUAAUUUAUCCGACUGCCGAAGAAAGGAGGCUAUGUUUUUCAGAUGUAUGAAGGUAUAUUACGGAUAUAAUAAUUAACUAUCAUAUGUUAUUAAACAAAAUUCUUUUGUUUGCCAAGAAAAAUAUACGAGCAUUAAGCGAUUAAUUUGAGAAUCUCUUGAAGAUCAAUUAGCUCCGCGAUAAAGAUUUCACAAGCGGUGCAGCCUGCCGGUUGCAUUACAGUUGAACGAGAAUUAAACCGUGCAGCUGAAAAGGUUUAAGAUGAAUGAGAACCGUGUGCGCUUACAAUGCAACAACAGUUUAGAAACAACUUAUUCCUGUAGAGCGCAUGUAAACAGUCUGUACUUUAUGUAUACAGCACUAUUUAUAGUUAGGCGCCAUGGUCCGUAAUAAGAAUCCUUUACGUCUGCAUGAAAUUAUACAGAGAAAGCGAAUAAUAGAUGCGAUUUAAAACAAAUCUAUUUGCAUAAAGAUGAUUUUAAAUAUCAAUAUUAGAAAAUAAAAAGAUUUGAUAGUUAAUGUAACAAGAGGACGUUUGUUAGUUUAUGUCACUUCCUUUUUUGUCAACCCUAUAAUUGAUACACUUCAAUGUCCAGCCGUAAAUGUUACGUCUGGAAUUACGAAUUUUCUCAGGAGUUCGUUAUAGUUAGCUAUAACAUUACUAAUUACUGAUUAGGGAAAGAAUACUCGAAAACUCCCACCGGAUUUGUGCGAGAAAUUGUAAUUUAUUUGUAGAUAUUUGAAUAUCUACAUAAUAAUGAUAUAUAACUGUAAAUAUUUAGAAUGUAUAAGUUUAUCUGUCAAUAUACAGAUGCAAUAGAGAGGAGGGGUUCGACGCGCACCGUCUGAACAGGAAAUGGCCCGCAGAUGAGUUGCGACGUAACCCUUAAGCCUCUACCACACCGGCGCCAUAAAUUGUCGAUAUCUAUUAUCGCAAUGCCUUAUUGUUAUAUCAGCGUAAUACCAAUGUAUAUAAUUAUUAUUUUCAUCUAAAUUGGGUUUAAUAGAGCCUAAUUUGUUUAAAUUAAAAAUCUCCUGUAUAGAAAAGUCUAUAAAAUUAUCAUUUUUUUUUGUAACUUAACAAAAGUGUGUUUAGUGUGGAGGAGUGUUUACAAUCACUAAAUAGUUUUUUAAAAAUCAAAGCUAGUACUUAAUUUAGUAGUAAUGUAGUGACAUACUCAUUUUUUAUAUAAUUGAUAAAUAGUUGUAUGGAAAUCUGUGAUUUUCAAAGCAAAAAGCAUGAUUUUA